rnacentral:lncRNA from 1 species
CCGUGCCUCCAGCCCGGGGCCCGCACCCCGGCCCAGGUGCAGCUGCCUUGGCGACCAUUUGUCCUACAGUUUGUCUGGACCCAGGCUGUCCUGUGUGCUGGAAUGAGGCGAACAUGUCUAUGAGCCCGGCAGGGAGGAAUCCUCCAGCCUAUUCCUCGCUGGUACACCAGGUUGUUGGCAGGCCCUGACACGCAAGUAAGCAGGAACGUCGGAGCAGGAGGAGCCAGUGGAGCCAUCAGGACACCCAGGCCCAUGGGGCAGGAGGCCUCGGUCACCGCAGGACUGGGGCGGAAGACGAGAGACGGCCGGCCGUGAGGGAGGCACCCUCCCUCCCCCCGCUUACGACACGCGGCCAUGCAGUUUGGGACAGGACACCCCUGAGAGUGCAGGCACCUCCCCCUCCCGCCCCUCCAUCCCUCUGGGGGCUGCCGCCUGGCCCCCCCACCUGGUCCCCC